rnacentral:tRNA from 1 species
GACAGCAUGCCCGAGUGGUUAUGGGGUUAGACUUGAAUUGUUAACUAUUCAUGAGCAUCUAAUGACUUCGGUCGCGCAGGUUCGAACCCUGCUGCUGUCG